AGAACGAACGCUGGCGGCAGGCUUAACACAUGCAAGUCGAACGCCCCGCAAGGGGAGUGGCAGACGGGUGAGUAACACGUGGGAACAUGCCCAAAGGUACGGAACAACUCCGGGAAACUGGAGCUAAUACCGUAUGUGCCCGAAAGGGGAAAGAUUUAUCGCCUUUGGAUUGGCCCGCGUCGGAUUAGCUAGUUGGUGGGGUAAAAGCCUACCAAGGCGACGAUCCGUAGCUGGUCUGAGAGGACGACCAGCCACACUGGGACUGAGACACGGCCCAGACUCCUACGGGAGGCAGCAGUGGGGAAUCUUGGACAAUGGGCGCAAGCCUGAUCCAGCCAUGCCGCGUGGAUGAUGAGGCCCUAGGGUUGUAAAAUCCUUUCGCCGAGGACGAUAAUGACGGUACUCGGAGAAGAAGCUCCGGCUAACUUCGUGCCAGCAGCCGC
rnacentral:rRNA from 1 species